AGAGUUUGAUCCUGGCUCAGAUUGAACGCUGGCGGAAUGCUUUACACAUGCAAGUCGAGCGGCAGCGCGGGGCAACCUGGCGGCGAGCGGCGAACGGGUGAGUAAUGCAUCGGAACAUGUCCAUGUCGUGGGGGAUAGCCCGGCGAAAGCCGGAUUAAUACCGCAUAAGCCCGAGAGGGGAAAGCAGGGGACCGCAAGGCCUUGCGCGAUUGGGUUGGCCGAUGUCCGAUUAGCUUGUUGGUGAGGUAAAGGCUUACCAAGGCGAUGAUCGGUAGCUGGUCUGAGAGGAUGAUCAGCCACACUGGGACUGAGACACGGCCCAGACUCCUACGGGAGGCAGCAGUGGGGAAUUUUGGACAAUGGGGGCAACCCUGAUCCAGCCAUUCCGCGUGAGUGGAGAAGGCCUUCGGGUUGUAAAGCUCUUUUGUCCGGAGCGAAACGGUGGCGGUGAAUAUCCGCCACUACUGACGGUACCG
rnacentral:rRNA from 1 species